rnacentral:rRNA from 1 species
GCUCAGACCGGUCGGAAAUCGGUCGUAGAGUAUAAAGGCAAAAGCGCGCUUGACUGCGAGACAGACACGUCGAGCAGGUACGAAAGUAGGUCUUAGUGAUCCGGUGGUUCUGUAUGGAAGGGCCAUCGCUCAACGGAUAAAAGGUACUCCGGGGAUAACAGGCUGAUACCGCCCAAGAGUUCAUAUCGACGGCGGUGUUUGGCACCUCGAUGUCGGCUCAUCACAUCCUGGGGCUGAAGCCGGUCCCAAGGGUAUGGCUGUUCGCCAUUUAAAGUGGUACGCGAGCUGGGUUUAGAACGUCGUGAGACAGUUCGGUCCCUAUCUG